GAGCGGAGUUAUACGCUGGAGCGGCCUUCGGGCCAAUCCUUGUAUAACUUAGCGGCGGACGGGUGAGUAACAGGUGGAUAAUCUGCCCUGCACUGUGGGAUAACACCCAGAAAUGGGUGCUAAUACCGCAUAAGCACACACUGCGGCAUCGUAGAGUGUGAAAAGAUUUAUCGGUGCAGGAGGAGUCCGCCCUAUAUUAGUUAGUUGGUGGGGUAAAAGCCUACCAAGACUACGAUCUAUAGCCGACCUGAGAGGGUGAUCGGCCACACUGGGACUGAGACACGGCCCAUACUCCUACGGGAGGCAGCAGUGAGGGAUAUUGCACAAUGGGCGAAAGCCUGAUGCAGCAACGCCGCGUGAAGGAAGAAGGUUCUCGGAUCGUAAACUUCUAUCGAUGGGGACGAAAAAAAUGACGGUACCCAAGUAAGAAGCCCCGGCUAACUACGUGCCAGCAGCCGCGGUAAU
rnacentral:rRNA from 1 species